GACAGAGGGGGCAAGCGUUGCUCGGAAUUACUGGGCGUAAAGGGCGCGUAGGCGGGAUGGCAAGUCGGUCGUGAAAUCCCUCGGCUCAACCGAGGAACGUCGAUCGAUACUGCUGUUCUUGAGGAUUGCAGAGGAGACUGGAAUUCCCGGUGUAGCGGUGAAAUGGUGUAGAGAUCGGGAGGAACACCGGUGGCGAAGGCGGGUCUCUGGGCAAUUCCUGACGCUGAGGCGGCGAAAGCGUGGGGAGCAAACGGG
rnacentral:rRNA from 1 species